CCUACGGGUGGCAGCAGUGGGGAAUAUUGGACAAUGGGCGAAAGCCUGAUCCAGCCAUGCCGCGUGUGUGAAGAAGGCCUUCGGGUUGUAAAGCACUUUCAGUGGGGAAGAAAGCCUUGGGGCUAAUACCCUCGAGGAAGGACAUCACCCACAGAAGAAGCACCGGCUAACUCCGUGCCAGCAGCCGCGGUAAUACGGAGGGUGCGAGCGUUAAUCGGAAUUACUGGGCGUAAAGCGCGCGUAGGCGGUCUGAUAAGCCGGUUGUGAAAGCCCCGGGCUCAACCUGGGAACGGCAUCCGGAACUGUCAGGCUAGAGUGCAGGAGAGGAAGGUAGAAUUCCCGGUGUAGCGGUGAAAUGCGUAGAGAUCGGGAGGAACACCAGUGGCGAAGGCGGCCUUCUGGACUGACACUGACGCUGAGGUGCGAAAGCGUGGGUAGCAAACAGGAUUAGAUACCCUUGUAGUC
rnacentral:rRNA from 1 species